rnacentral:rRNA from 1 species
UACGUAGGGUGCAAGCGUUGUCCGGAAUUAUUGGGCGUAAAGAGCUCGUAGGCGGUCUGUUGCGUCGGCUGUGAAAACCCGGGGCUCAACUCCGGGCCUGCAGCCGAUACGGGCAGACUAGAGUUCGGCAGGGGAGACUGGAAUUCCUGGUGUAGCGGUGAAAUGCGCAGAUAUCAGGAGGAACACCGAUGGCGAAGGCAGGUCUCUGGGGCAUUAACUGACGCUGAGGAGCGAAAGCAUGGGGAGCGAACAGG